UAAAACAGUCAGGAUGUUGGCUUAGAAGCAGCCAUCAUUUAAAGAAAGCGUAAUAGCUCACUGAUCGAGUCGUCCUGCGCGGAAGAUGUAACGGGGCUAAGCCAGUCACCGAAGCUGCGGAUAUCCUUUAUUGGAUAUGGUAGGAGAGCGUUCUGUAAGCCUGCGAAGGUGUCUUGUAAAGGAUGCUGGAGGUAUCAGAAGUGCGAAUGCUGACAUGAGUAGCGAUAAUGGGGGUGAAAAGCCUCCACGCCGUAAGCCCAAGGUUUCCUGUUCAACGUUCAUCGGAGCAGGGUGAGUCGGCCCCUAAGGCGAGGCAGAGAUGCGUAGCUGAUGGGAAGCAGGUUAAUAUUCCUGCACCGUCGUAUGAUGCGAUGGGGGGACGGAUCGCGGAAGGUUGUCCAACUGUUGGAAUAGUUGGUUUUUGGCUCAUAGAAGGCGCUUAGGCAAAUCCGGGCGCGGAAUUCAAGGGGUUGAGACGAGUGCACUUGUGCAUGAAGCAAUCGGAA
rnacentral:rRNA from 1 species